UACGUAGGGGGCUAGCGUUGUUCGGAAUUACUGGGCGUAAAGCGUGCGCAGGCGGUUUUUUAAGCCCGGUGUGAAAUCCCCGGGCUUAACCUGGGAAUGGCAUUUGGGACUGCAAGGCUUGAGUGCGGCAGAGGAGACUGGAAUUCCUGGUGUAGCAGUGAAAUGCGUAGAUAUCAGGAGGAACACCGAUGGCGAAGGCAGGUCUCUGGGCUGACACUGACGCUCAUGCACGAAAGCGUGGGGAGCAAACAGG
rnacentral:rRNA from 1 species